rnacentral:lncRNA from 1 species
GUUUUUUCCCUCUUUUGACAAUACGUAGUCAGUUCGUCAAUAACUUAUUUAUGGGUGUGAAUACUCUUUGGUAUCAAUCGGUGUGAAGUCAGAUAUGCGAUACUUAUAAAACAAUGAUAAAGACUCUGUCAGGAUAAGUUCAAUAUUGAUGGGUUUGGCUAUACAUGAUUAUACUUUUAAUGCCCAAUUUUUUUUUAUUUCCGCUUUCAUUUCUUACAAAGGACAGUACUGCUGUUUCAAUUUCUCAAAUUGGAUAUUUAUUUUGAUGUAUUAGUUUUUU